rnacentral:rRNA from 1 species
CACAGACAGUGCAUGCGUUAUUCGGAUUUAUUUGGCGUAAAGGGUAAGUAGAUUGUUUUUAAAAUUAAAUGCAAAAAAGCUAGAGUUAUAACUUUAGAUUGGUAUGUUUCAAUUAUUAAACUUAAGUUAAGGAGAGGUUAGAAGAAUUUCUGGAGGAAGGGUAAUAUCUUAAGAUCCCGGAAGGACUACCAUAAGCGAAGGCAUCUUCCAGUCUUAACUAAUUAUUGAGUUACGGAAAUACAGGGAGCAAAUGGG